AUUUGAUGAUGUGGACAUUUUAUCUACAACUCCUCAAAUCUUUCCCAAGCUUCAAAGAAUUCCUCCGUAUGCUUCUGUCUAAAGUUUGGAUCUUGUUUCUCAACUC
rnacentral:snoRNA from 1 species